rnacentral:rRNA from 1 species
CAAAUUGAGAGUUUGAUCCUGGCUCAGGAUGAACGCUGGCGGCGUGCCUAAUACAUGCAAGUCGAACGCCUUGUGGUUUUAAUGAAUAGCGUGCUUGCACAAUAUGAUUUAAAACAAUGCAAGGAGUGGCGAACGGGUGAGUAACACGUGGGAAACCUACCUCUUAGCAGGGGAUAACAUUUGGAAACAGAUGCUAAUACCGUAUAACACUAAAAACCGCAUGGUUUUUUAUUUGAAAGAUGGUUCUGCUAUCACUAAGAGAUGGUCCCGCGGUGCAUUAGUUAGAUGGUGAGGUAAUGGCUCACCAUGACGAUGAUGCAUAGCCGAGUUGAGAGACUGAUCGGCCACAAUGGGACUGAGACACGGCCCAUACUCCUACGGGAGGCAGCAGUAGGGAAUCUUCCACAAUGGGCGCAAGCCUGAUGGAGCAACGCCGCGUGUGUGAUGAAGGGUUUCGGCUCGUAAAGCACUGUUGUAAGAGAAGAAUGUACUUGAGAGUAACUGUUCAAGUAGUGACGGUAUCUUACCAGAAAGGGACGGCUAAAUACGUGCCAGCAGCCGCGGUAAUACGUAUGUCCCAAGCGUUAUCCGGAUUUAUUGGGCGUAAAGCGAGCGCAGACGGUUAUUUAAGUCUGAAGUGAAAGCCCUCAGCUCAACUGAGGAAUUGCUUUGGAAACUGGAUGACUUGAGUGCAGUAGAGGAAAGUGGAACUCCAUGUGUAGCGGUGAAAUGCGUAGAUAUAUGGAAGAACACCAGUGGCGAAGGCGGCUUUCUGGACUGUAACUGACGUUGAGGCUCGAAAGUGUGGGUAGCAAACAGGAUUAGAUACCCUGGUAGUCCACACCGUAAACGAUGAGUGCUAGCUGUUCGAGGGUUUCCGCCCUUGAGUGGCGUAGCUAACGCAUUAAGCACUCCGCCUGGGGAGUACGACCGCAAGGUUGAAACUCAAAGGAAUUGACGGGGACCCGCACAAGCGGUGGAGCAUGUGGUUUAAUUCGAAGCAACGCGAAGAACCUUACCAGGUCUUGACAUCCUUUGACCACUCCAGAGAUGGAGCUUUCCCUUCGGGGACAAAGUGACAGGUGGUGCAUGGUUGUCGUCAGCUCGUGUCGUGAGAUGUUGGGUUAAGUCCCGCAACGAGCGCAACCCUUAUUGUUAGUUGCCAGCAUUCAGUUGGGCACUCUAGCGAGACUGCCGGUGACAAACCGGAGGAAGGCGGGGAUGACGUCAAAUCAUCAUGCCCCUUAUGACCUGGGCUACACACGUGCUACAAUGGCAUAUACAACGAGUCGCCAACCCGCGAGGGUGCGCUAAUCUCUUAAAGUAUGUCUCAGUUCGGACUGUAGGCUGCAACUCGCCUACACGAAGUCGGAAUCGCUAGUAAUCGCGGAUCAGCACGCCGCGGUGAAUACGUUCCCGGGUCUUGUACACACCGCCCGUCACACCAUGAGAGUUUGUAACACCCAAAGUCGGUGGGGUAACCUUUAUAGGAGCCAGCCGCCUAAGGUGGGACAGAUGAUUAGGGUGAAGUCGUAACAAGGUAGCCGUAGGAGAACCUGCGGCUGGAUCACCUCCUUUCUAAGGAA